rnacentral:rRNA from 1 species
GGGUCAGUAGGUUGGUCGUGCCACCGGUACGUACUGGUCUCACUGAUUCCUCCUUCCUGAAGAACCGUAAUGCCAUUAAUUUGGUGUUGCGGGGAAACAGGACUGUUACUUUGAAAAAAUUAGAGUGUUUAAAGCAAGCUUACGCUUGAAUACAUUAGCAUGGAAUAAUGAAGUAGGACGAUCGAUCCUAUUUUGUCGGUUUCUAGGAUUGACGUA